rnacentral:rRNA from 1 species
GAAACUGCGAAUGGCUCAUUAAAACAGUUAUAGUUUAUUUGAUAAUUGAAAAUUACAUGGAUAACCGUGGUAAUUCUAGAGCUAAUACAUGCUGUCAAGCCCGACUUUUUGGAAGGGUUGUAUUUAUUAGACUGAAGCCAAUAUUCCUUACGGUCUAUUGCGGUGAUUCAUAAUAACUGAUCGAAUCUCGCUCGUCGAGAUAAAUCAUUCAAGUUUCUGCCCUAUCAGCUUUCGAUGGUAGUGUAUUGGACUACCAUGGCAGUAACGGGUAACGAAGAAUUAGGGUUCGAUUUCGGAGAGGGAGCAUGAGAAACGGCUACCACAUCUAAGGAAGGCAGCAGGCGCGUAAAUUACCCAAUCCUGACUCAGGGAGGUAGUGACAAGAAAUAGCAAAGCAGUUUCCUAUUGGAAUCAUGUUAUUGCAGUGAAAACAAUUUAAAACACUUAAAGAGAACCAGUGGAGGACAAGUCUGGUGCCAGCACCCGCGGUAAUUCCAGCUCCACUAGCGUAUAUUAAAGUUGUUGCAGUUAAAAAGCUCGUAGUUGAACUUCUGUAUGGGCUAGUGUGGCCUUACAGCCUAGCUAGUCCCAUGCAUCCGCUUGUAAGACCUGGAGGAUAUUUAUUUAUCGCCAGGAGGAACAGGCUUUUUACUUUGAAAAAAUUAGAGUGUUUAAGGCAGGCUAUAGCCCGCAUAUAUUAGCAUGGAAUAAUAGAAUAGGACACUUUUCCAUUUCGUUGGUUAUUGGAAUCGUGUAAUGAUUAAUAGGGACAGUUGUGGGCAUUUGUAUUUAAUUGUCAGAGGUGAAAUUCUUGGAUUUAUUAAAGACAAACUAACGCGAAAGCAUUUGCCAAGGAUGUUUUCAUUAAUCAAGAACGAAGAGUUAGGGGAUCAAAGACGAUCAGAUACCGUCCUAGUCUUAACUAUAAACUAUUCCGACUCAGUGUUUGACUGGCUCAUAUAACCAGUUGAGCAUUGUAUGAGAAAUCAAAGUCUUUAGGUUCUGGGGGGAGUAUGGUUGCAAAGCUGAAACUUAAAGGAAUUGACGGAAGAGCACAACCAGGAGUGGAUUCUGCGGCUUAAUUUGACUCAACACGGGGAAACUUACCAGGUUAAAACAAUAGUGGGAUUGACAGCUUGAGAGCGCUUUCUUGAUUCGUUGGGUGGUGGUGCAUGGCCGUUCUUAGUUGGUGGAGUGAUUUGUCUGCUUAAUUGCGUUAACGAACGAGACCUUAACCUGCUUACUAGACUGGCGAUGCAAAAUCGUCGGCUCUUCUUAGAGGGACUUUGGUUGUUUUAACUCCAAGGAAGUUUGAGGCAAUAACAGGUCUGUGAUGCCCUUAGAUAUCCUGGGCCGCACGCGUCAUACAAUGACUAGUUCAGAAAGUCUCAUCCUAACCCGGAAGGGUCUGGGUAAUCUUGUCAGUGCUAGUCGUGUUAGGGAUAGAUCUUUGCAAUUAUAGAUCUUGAACGAGGAAUUCCUAGUAAGUGCGGUUCAUCAGACCGUACUGAUUACGUCCCUGCUCUUUGUACACACCGCCCGUCGCUUCUACCGAGUGAGUGGUCCGGUGAGACACUUGAAUCUAGCGGGUUUACCCGAUAGAGAAAAUUGUCAAACCUAUCCACUUCGAGGAAGAAGAAGUCGUAACAAGGUUUCCGUAG